rnacentral:rRNA from 1 species
UCGAUGAAGAACGCAGCGAAAUGCGAUACGUAAUGUGAAUUGCAGAAUUCAGUGAAUCAUCGAAUCUUUGAACGCAUAUUGCGCUCUUUGGUAUUCCGAAGAGCAUGCUUGUUUGAGUAUCAGUAAACACCUCAAAGACUUCAAUUUGUUUUGAAUGGCUUUGGACUUGAGCAAUCCCAACACCAGUCUUUACGAUCGGUGGAGGGUUGCUUGAAAUGCAGGUGCAGCUGGACAUUCUCCUGAGCUAAAAGCAUAUUUAUUUAGUCCCGUCAAACGGAUUAUUACUUUUGCUGCAGCUAACAUAAAGGGAGUUUGACCGUAUUGGCUGACUGAUGCAGGAUUUCACAAGGGUCGGCAACGAUUCUUGUAAAACUCGAUCUCAAAUCAAGUAAGACUACCCGCUGAACUUAAGCAUAUCAAUAAGCGGAGGAA